rnacentral:lncRNA from 12 species
GGCCAUGUUUCCUGGGGGACCAUGGUAGGGGUGCACUAGGUCUCGUCCAAGGCAGCUGCAGAGGGUCAGGUUACAGCAAUGUAGGUCACAUGCUCCAGCCUGGGCAGACCAAGGAUCCAGCACAUUAUCUGGCCCCAGCCUUUCCCUGUCACUGCUCCAGCAUGCUGCAGCCUGGGCUCUGGAUGGCCCUGGCCCCUCUGCUUGGUGCCCUCAGUGCAGGUACAAUGUGGGGCACUCAGUUCCCAUGCCCAGCGGGCACCUACAGCUCUCAAGCCGGCAAUGGCCAGGUGGAAGACUGUCAGCUCUGUCCCCCAGGGGCCUUCUGCCCCAGGGGUGUCCCCAAGCCCAUGCUCUGUCCACGGGGAACUUCCCGCCAGAGUCCGGGUGCAAGGCUGGCUGUGGCCUGUGUGCUAUGCCCCACAGGUCACCACUGCCCUGAGCCAGGCACUGCCACUCCACUGCCAUGUGGUGCUGGCAGCUUCUCUGUAAGUGUUCCCAGAACAGACUCCAUCCCAUAGAGGGCCCAGAAGUGGGAAGAUCCUAAAGCAAGGGAGGUGGGAAGGCGGCUAGGGAAGAUGGCCAGUGCAGCCUCCAUUGUGGGACCCCUUCCUCCAGGCAUUGACAACCUGUGGACAGAGGCAGAUGCUCAGAGAGCGCCUCAGUUUUACUGGCAUCUGUCCUGCUCUGAAACCCUCCAAUAACCUGAUCUCCUCAGAAAGGGAGGCACACACACAGAGCCUGGGGUCCCAGGCUGCAGCGUUCCCAAUUCAAUUCAACAUGUAUUCUGAGUUCCUGCUUUGUGCCAAGCCUAGCCCAAAUAUUAGGGGAAUGGAAAGAAACCAACCUUAUUACCAAUCCCCCUUCCAGGGUCCAGGACAUCUCUGGUGCCAGGAGUGCCCAGGAGGAAAGCUCUGCAACCAGACAAAGCUGGCUGGCCCCAUAGCAUGCCCACCUGGGCACUACUGCCCAGCCCAGGGCCUGCUGUCCAUCCCUUGCCCCAUGGGCACUUUUCGAGAGGCCCCAGGGGCAGCACACGUGGAAGACUGCCAACUGUGCAGCCCUGGGACCUUCUGUGGCAGAACAGGCCUGGCCAAGCCCCAGGGGCUGUGCAGUCCUGGACAUUACUGUGGGCCUGGUUCCAACACUUCUUCUCCGGAGGGACUGCCCUUUGGUGACCUCUGCCCUGCUGGCCAUUUCUGCCCCGCUGGCACCAAGGAUGCCAGGCAGAGGCCCUGCCCAGCUGGCACGUGGAAUGGAGAGAGAGGGGCACGGGAUGCGAGCUGGUGCCUGCCCUGCCCACCUGGGCUUUUCUGUGCUGGCAAAGGCCAGGCUGCCCCCAGAGGCCCAUGUGCGCCAGGAUAUUAUUGCCCAGGAGGGGCAUGGACCGCCAGACCUCUCAGCAGCCCAUGGGGAGACCUUGGCCCUGUGGGCCACAUCUGCCCUGAAGGCUCACUGGGGGCCACACCUCAGCCAGAUGGGCAGCACAGCAAUGGAUCAGGAGCCAGAGUCACCCACCUGGACAGACACAUCCACGCCAUGGCAGGCGGCCCCUGCCCUCCAGGCCACUUCUGUCCAGUGGGCACAGAGGGACCCCUGCCCUGCCCUGUGGGCACCUUCUCAGAUCGGAUGUUUCUCUCCAUGGUGUCGGAGUGUCUGUCCUGCCCCUCUGGCCAUUUCUGUGGUGCAUCUGGCCUCACUGCUCCCUCUGGACCCUGUUCCCCUGGCUACUUCUGUCUGGAAGGAGUCUCCUCCCCAACCCCAGCAGGCCACUCGGAACACGGGGGGCCCUGUCCCCAAGGCCACUUCUGCCCCAGUGGGACCAGCCACCCCAAGCCUUGCCCUGCUGGUUCCUACAGCAACCUGACUGGCCAAGCAUCCUGCUUCCCCUGCCCUGCUGGCUACUACUGCCCUGAGAAUAUCACCACCUAUAGCAGGCACCCCUGCCCUGCUGGCUUCUACUGCCCCCGAGGCACCAAAUACGCCACCCAGUUCCCCUGCCCUCGGGGCUACUACAACCCAGACCCCCUGACCCAGACCCUGGACAGCUGCCUGCCUUGUCCCCCAGGCCACUACUGUGGGCAGGAGAAUCUGACCCAAGCUUCUGGACCCUGUGAUGCAGGUGUGUUUCCCAAAGCACCCUAA